rnacentral:rRNA from 1 species
GAACGCACCACUGGUGUACGGGUUGUGAUGCCAAUUGCAUUGCCCGGUAGCUAAGUGCGGAAGAGAUAACCGCUGAAAGCAUCUAAGCGGGAAACUUGCCUCGAGAUGAGUCUUCCCUGACCCUUUAAGGGUCCUGAAGGAACGUUUGAGACUAAGACGUUGAUAGGCUGGGUGUGUAAGCGCAGCGAUGCGUUGAGCUGACCAGUACUAAUGAACCGGGAGGCUUAACCUGACAACACCGAAGGUGUUU